UUGUCCUGCCUGUGUAUUUAAGCCCUGUGUCUUCCACUGUUUUAUGCUGGUUCAUCUGUGUGUCAUCCUCUGCAUUUCUUCUGUGUUUUGUUGAAUUUCUCCAGGUUCCGUGGUUCUCCUCGCUGGUCUUCAUAUUCUGUGUUUCCCCGUCUUAGAUUUUUAUGUUUCAUGUUUCGAGUCCUAGCAGUUUUGUUCCUUUGUAUUAUUUUUGUACCUUUUCCCAGUUUAGAUUUUUCUUAGUUUUACUUGCUGCCAUGCUCUGCCUUUGUUUGUAUUUCGUUCCCCCACUUUAAAUGAAACUCACGCACAGUUACUCAGUCAUCGGUGCCUGCACUUGGAUCCACCCUCCUCACCACUCCGCACGUCUGCGUCAGCACUCGUGACACAAAGGAAUGGCAGAUGGGUUCAAGGUGGGGACGGGAUUACCUCAGUGGUCAGCUCUGAGUCCCUUGUGGUUUGCAGUUGUGAUGGACAUUAAGACACGAGGUCAAGCACGAGUCUCUGUAGACUGAUGUUUACAGACACUAUUUUGAGAAUAGAUGGCAUGUGGAAAAGAGACGAGAGAGACGGAGGUAUGCUCUGAAGAGAAGAGGAAUGAAAGUCAGAACAGAAAGACGUGUGUAAAUGAGAGGGAAGCAUGUGUAACAGUGAAGAUGCAAGGAAAGUAGUGAAAGUAGCUGGGGUCAACCAUCCAAAGCAACAGAGCACCAAAAAAAGUAAAGACAGGGCGAAGUGGGUGGAGACAAGUGUCAGAAGAAGAAAUAAAUGAUUUGUAUGAGCAAGAGUGAAAGGGAAGAUAGUGAGGCCUGCUAUGGUGUAUUAUUUAAAGACAGUGGCAUUGAGAAAAAGACAGAAGGCAAAUCUUGAGGUGGCAGAAUUGAAGAUGUUAAGAUUUUCAUUGGGAAUGAUCCAAAUGGACAAGAUUAGAAAUGAGUACCAGUAUCAGACAGCCAGCUCAGGUUGAGUGGUUUAGAGACAACGUUAGAGAGGCUGAGAGACAUGUACAGAGGAGUGAUAGUGGAUGCAAGUUUGAAAAGUAUUCUCACAGUAGAAUGAUGGAGUUCAAAUGUUUGAAAAUUACCCUUUGAUGAGGAGAAUCAAAUGUCUAUAAGUCUGAUUAUUGCUGAUGUCUUUCCUUCUAUGCAUUGUGUUAACACACAAAUAAAUGCUCCAGACCAGCAAACCUAGGUGCUCACACUGGACGAUGAUCAGUUAAUCAAGUGCAUCUUGCUGCUCACCCUCUUAGUUCCUAUAUAAGCAGGAAGGGGGUACUUGGUUUACUGCUUCUGCAU